rnacentral:tRNA from 1 species
CGGGGCGUGGCGCAGUCUGGUAGCGCAUACGGCUGGGGGUCGUAGGGUCGGAGGUUCAAAUCCUCUCGCCCCGA